rnacentral:tRNA from 1 species
AAAUCCUUAUUUUAGCAGAACAUUGCUUUAGACUUAGAAUCUAAAAGAGCUCUC